CAUCUGGAGUUCCUUCACAACACUUCAUUGGAAUUCUUUUAUAAGACUACUGAAGUGUUUGGAGGAACUCUAGUUG
rnacentral:miRNA from 1 species